rnacentral:rRNA from 1 species
UCAGGAUCGUAACAAAGUAGCGCUGGAACGAAAACAAUGACGGUACCAGCAGAGGAAGCAUCGGCUAACUACGUGCCAGCAGCCGCGGUAAGACGUAGGAUGCGAGCGUUGUCCGGAUUUAUUGGGCGUAAAGAGUUCGUAGGUGGUUUGUUAAGUUUGGUGUUAAAGAUCGGGGCUCAACCCUGGGACUGCACUGAAUACUGGCAGGCUCGAGUGUGGUAGAGGCUAGUGGAAUUCCCAGUGUAGCGGUGAAAUGCGUAGAUAUUGGGAAGAACACCGGUGGCGUAGGCGACUAGCUGGGCCAUAACUGACGCUGAGGAACGAAAGCCAGGGGAGCGAAUGGGAUUAGAUACCCCAGUAGUCA